rnacentral:misc_RNA from 1 species
GAUGAAGAACGUAGCGAAAUGCGAUAAGUAAUGUGAAUUGCAGAAUUCAGUGAAUCAUCGAAACUUUGAACGCACCUUGCGCUCUUUGGUAUUCCGAAGAGCAUGCCUGUUUGAGUGUCAUGAAAAUAUCAACCUUGACUUGGGUUUUGUGCUCUAGUCUCGGCUUGGAAUUGGGUGCUUGCCGCUUUUACGAGCGGCUCACCUUAAAUGUAUUAGCUGGAUCUGUCUUUGAGACUUGGUUUGACUUGGCGUAAUAAGUAUUUCGCUAAGGACAUUCUUCGGAGUGGCCUCGUUUCUAGGACGCUUGUCCGCUUUCCAAUACAAGUUCCACCUCGUGGACAUGACUUUUUAUUAUCUGGCCUCAAAUCAGGUAGGACUACCCGCUGAACUUAAGCAUAUCAAUAAGCGGAGGA